GAGGCAAAGGGGGAUCCUGCUCCUGCCUUCAAAUAGUUUUGUAAACUAGCCCGAGUUUACAAAAGGCAGCUAAGGUCCAGGGUGGUUGUGCGGCCUGCCCGCGGUCACAGAGCAAGCAGCACACAGGAGAGUUCCCAGGACACGUAAGGGCAGUGCGAGCUCACGUCCAGUGGACUCAAGAGACUGUGUGGCAUGGUGACACCUCUCAGGGGAGGAAGCAGACACGAAGUUGUAACUAGGGUUCGCUGAGCGGAGCACAGAGGCACAAAACCACUGGCUUUCAGAAGUGGAGGGGGCCCCCGAGGCCACCUGAUUGGAUGACCCACAUCUUACAAAGAGGGCAUCACCUGGGAGCAUCUGGAUGUUGUUCGAGGCCUCAAACGGGGCACCGUCCUUCAUCCAGAUUCCUGUUUCUCCUGCCGGGACAGUCCGUGCCAACUACCCUCGGGAGACGGACGGACACCUGGGGGCCCGGUCACCUCUCCAAGCCUCAGCGCUUCGUUGGUGACACAGAGGGACAAGCACAUCUCCCACCCCCCAGGCUUGUCCAACCAAUCAGGCCUGUGCAAACGCCCAGCCCGUGACAAACGUUCAGCCAAUACAGCUAUGACUAUU